rnacentral:sRNA from 2 species
AAACGUAUAACGCCGAGUCCUCGGCAGCCACAGCGCACAAGGCGCCUGCGGCUGAAGGGGAGCCGGGGACCCACUACAGGGCCCGCGGGCCACACCUGGGGUGAAUGCGCGCAAGGAUCUUUUCCCGACUCGUUUGGGUCAAGAAGGAGCGGCGCAGGACUUUUCUCGAGUCCAACCCGACAGCUAACCCGGUAGGCAAGAGAAGAUAU